CUCUACAGCGGGGCCCCUCAGCAUUGUGGGAAGGCCUGGACCUCCCUAUUUCCCGGGAGUUGUUGGAGGUUGCACCGAGCGCACUACCGACUCUGUCCUUAAUUCGGGCCAAGCUUUGGGUGCUGGAAAUUAAAUCCAGGGCCUUGGGGAUGCUAGGCAAGUGCUCCACCAUUGAGCUACAUUGUGGCCCUUUUGAUGAGGAAAAAAAGAAGAAUCAAGAUAUAUCAUGUACUGGUACAAAUUUCCUAUAAUGAAUGUUAUCAUCAUGUAUAUC
rnacentral:lncRNA from 1 species